rnacentral:rRNA from 1 species
GGAGGAAAAGAAACUAACAAGGAUUCCCUUAGUAACGGCGAGUGAACCGGGAAAAGCUCAAAUUUGUAAUCUGGCUGUCUUCGAUAGUCCGAGUUGUAAUCUAUAGACGUGUUUUCCGUGCUGGACCGUAUCUAAGUCCCUUGGAACAGGGUAUCAAAGAGGGUGACAAUCCCGUGCUUGAUACGACCACCAGUGCUCUGUGAUACACGCUCUACGAGUCGAGUUGUUUGGGAAUGCAGCUCAAAAUGGGUGGUAAAUUCCAUCUAAAGCUAAAUAUUGGCGAGAGACCGAUAGCGAACAAGUACCGUGAGGGAAAGAUGAAAAGCACUUUGGAAAGAGAGUUAAACAGUACGUGAAAUUGUUGAAAGGGAAACGAUUGAAGUCAGUCGUGUUCUUUGGAUUCAGCUAGUUCUUCUAGUCUACUUCCUUUGAACGGGUCAACAUCAGUUUUGUCCGGUGGAUAAAGAUAGUAGGAAUGUAGCUCCCUCGGGAGUGUUAUAGACUAUUAUUGCAUGCACUGGGUGAGACUGAGGACUGCAGCUCGCCUUUUGGCCGACCUUCGGGUACGUUCGAGCUUAGGAUGUUGACAUAAUGGCUUUAAACGACCCGUCUU